UACGUAGGGUGCGAGCGUUGUCCGGAAUUACUGGGCGUAAGGAGCUCGUAGGUGGUUUGUCGCGUUGUUCGUGAAAUCUCACGGCUUAACUGUGAGCGUGCGGGCGAUACGGGCAGACUUGAGUACUGCAGGGGAGACUGGAAUUCCUGGUGUAGCGGUGGAAUGCGCAGAUAUCAGGAGGAACACCGGUGGCGAAGGCGGGUCUCUGGGCAGUAACUGACGCUGAGGAGCGAAAGCGUGGGGAGCGAACAGG
rnacentral:rRNA from 1 species